GUGUUGUUAAUUCAAUCCAAUACAACAUGGGUCUCCAAAACCCGAUGUCGUAGGUUUGAGUCCUACAAAUCGCG
rnacentral:tRNA from 1 species